CGAACGCUGGCGGCGCGCCUAACACAUGCAAGUCGAACGAGCGGGAGAGAGCUUGCUUUCUCGAGCGAGUGGCGAACGGGUGAGUAACGCGUGAGGAACCUGCCUCAAAGAGGGGGACAACAGUUGGAAACGACUGCUAAUACCGCAUAAGCCCACGACCCGGCAUCGGGUAGAGGGAAAAGGAGCAAUCCGCUUUGAGAUGGCCUCGCGUCCGAUUAGCUAGUUGGUGAGGUAACGGCCCACCAAGGCGACGAUCGGUAGCCGGACUGAGAGGUUGAACGGCCACAUUGGGGCUGAGACACGGCCCAGACUCCUACGGGAGGCAGCAGUGGGGAAUAUUGCACAAUGGGGGAAACCCUGAUGCAGCGACGCCGCGUGGAGGAAGAAGGUCUUCGGAUUGUAAACUCCUGUUGUUGAGGAAGAUAAUGACGGUACUCAACAAGGAAGUGACGGCUAACUACGUG
rnacentral:rRNA from 1 species